GUUGAUUAUAAUCAAACUGUUGGGGCUCAAAAGUGAUAUUAGGUUCCUUUUCAUGUUGAAAACUAGAAUUAGUAGACGUUUCAUUCACCAUGCCAAAACCAAAUAUAAUAAUUUGCCAUGAACCCUCUAUUAUAUAAAUGCUUUGCGACCGUUUUGGCAGAAAAUAGCGACCAAUUUUGCACUUUCGACAUGGACAAGACAUAUUACCAGUUUUUUGCAUGAUUGACAAUUGAUUUGCAUUUAUCAUGAAUUCUUCUAGCCUAUCUGCAAACUCUCUUGUCAUUGAUCCAUCAACAUCUUUGUGUUUAUAUAUCCACUCCCGCCGGAUAUAAAUCUCGUGAGACGCCGACAUAUUAUAUAUAUUUAUUUUGAAGAUAAAAGAAAUAUAAAAUUUGAGAAGAAAAGAUUUGAAAACGAAAUUUGAAGAAGAAUGUUUAAUAUUGAAGAAGAGAGAUUGUGAUGUUCCUUACUCAUCCCAACGUGACUUUAUAUAGGCAUACAAAUCUAUUUGCGACGAAUUUUUGCGACUAUAUUGCGAGGAAUUGUAAACUAGUUAGGUAGCACAUUUUAAAACGUUUAUCACCUACCAUAUAUAUUCGUCUCAAAUAUGUCUCACAAUUGUGUCAAAUUUUUACACGCAAAUUCCACACCAAAUGUGCAUGUACUUUGCGAUGAAUUGGAUUGGCUGUUGACUUCGACUCACAUUCGUCGCUAAUUAGACGCUUAUCCGCCUCGAAUUAGCGACGAAUUAUUUCCAAGCAUAUUUGCGACGAAGUUGAGUUGAAUUACACUAUUCCAUCCUUAUUCGUCGCUAAUUAUACGCUUAUCUGCCUCGAAUUAGCGACGAAAAUUUUCCAAACACAUUUUCGACGAUAUUGAGUCGAAUCGUUAAUGCGAUGGUAAUUCCACGCUAAUUACAUGCAAUUUAGCGACACAUUUAUUUCCACGCAAUAUUUUCAUGCUACUCACAUGUUUUCUUGUAAUAUAUAUGGUGAUUCUCUUGAGUCUUAAUUUAAUUUAAAGUAAGAAAAUCUUUAGAUAUCAUGUGUACUAUAUAUGAUGAAUCUUAUAGAAAUAACUAGAUUAGGAUCCGCAUAUAUGCGGGUUUUUGAUUUAAAAUUUUCAUAACCCGUGAAAAUAAACAAAAAAAUAGAAAACAAAAAUAGAUGGCUCGGAAAAACAAAGUUAGAUUUUGCUUUUAUGUUUCUAUUAUAUUGUUUCCAUUAUAUUUAUUUUUUUCAUGCAAAUUUUGAUAAGACUUCCUUCACAUAAUCGAUUUCCAGAAUCUUUAAGAAGUGACUGAUGCACAAAAUCUUGAAUAGUUUUAAAAACAAAUUAAAUUUUAGUCAGUUAAGUUUUCUUUUUAGCGUUAGUAAAUAAUAAUAAAAAAACAUUCUGAAUUAUUAAUCUCUCUCUCUUUUGUUUUGUAAAUGUAAACAUGUAGAUAAAAUAUUUAUUAAAUAUUAUUAAUUGUACUUGAAUUCAGAAUGAUAACCUGCACAUUUUUUUAUAAUUUUAUUUGGUAAAUAAUUUUAGAAACUGGAUUUAAUUUGAGAAAUUUUUUGAAUGAAUUUCAGUAUACGUGACUACACUUCUAUCAAUAUCUUAUAGUUAUUGAAUAA
rnacentral:sRNA from 1 species